GCCUACAGCCAUACCAGACUGGGCUGUGUUUUGGCCUAGUUAGGAUUUGGAUGGGAGACCACCAAGCAGAAUGCUGGUGCUGCAAGAA
ensembl:rRNA 5S_rRNA 5S ribosomal RNA